CACUUCGCCUGCGUUGUCCCUUUUCCUGGGGCGACGCGGGGUGAACCAUGAAGCAAUCUUUGCGUCCCACUCCACCCACAUUAGGCUGUGGUUGUGGAUUGGUCCGCAGGGCAUUCGCUUGAGCUCUCGGAUGCGGUGCAUUAUAAGCGGGCACGAGGACUCACGUCCUCUAUUUGCCCGAAAUAAAGCUUUCAUCGCUUGUUUGCGAACGAUUGCGAUCCCCGUUUCGAGCCCCCGGGCGAGUCCGGCGUUUAUCUUCUUGCGGAAAUGCUA
rnacentral:misc_RNA from 1 species